rnacentral:rRNA from 1 species
CCUACGGGGGGCAGCAGUGAGGAAUAUUGGUCAAUGGACGAGAGUCUGAACCAGCCAAGUAGCGUGAAGGAUGACUGCCCUAUGGGUUGUAAACUUCUUUUAUAUGGGAAUAAAAUGUUCCACGUGUGGGAUUUUGUAUGUACCAUAUUAAUAAGGAUCGGCUAACUCCGUGCCAGCAGCCGCGGUAAUACGGAGGAUCCGAGCGUUAUCCGGAUUUAUUGGGUUUAAAGGGAGCGUAGGUGGAUUGUUAAGUCAGUUGUGAAAGUUUGCGGCUCAACCGUAAAAUUGCAGUUGAAACUGGCAGUCUUGAGUACAGUAGAGGUGGGCGGAAUUCGUGGUGUAGCGGUGAAAUGCUUAGAUAUCACGAAGAACUCCGAUUGCGAAGGCAGUUCACUGGACUGCAACUGACACUGAGGCUCGAAAGUGUGGGUAUCAAACAGGAUUAGAUACCCCUGUAGUC